ACGCCGUAAACGAUGUCGACUUGGAGGUUGUGCCCUUGAGGCGUGGCUUCCGGAGCUAACGCGUUAAGUCGACCGCCUGGGGAGUACGGCCGCAAGGUUAAAACUCAAAUGAAUUGACGGGGGCCCGCACAAGCGGUGGAGCAUGUGGUUUAAUUCGAUGCAACGCGAAGAACCUUACCUGGUCUUGACAUCCACAGAACUUUCCAGAGAUGGAUUGGUGCCUUCGGGAACUGUGAGACAGGUGCUGCAUGGCUGUCGUCAGCUCGUGUUGUGAAAUGUUGGGUUAAGUCCCGCAACGAGCGCAACCCUUAUCCUUUGUUGCCAGCGGUCCGGCCGGGAACUCAAAGGAGACUGCCAGUGAUAAACUGGAGGAAGGUGGGGAUGACGUCAAGUCAUCAUGGCCCUUACGACCAGGGCUACACACGUGCUACAAUGGCGCAUACAAAGAGAAGCGACCUCGCGAGAGCAAGCGGACCUCAUAAAGUGCGUCGUAGUCCGGAUUGGAGUCUGCAACUCGACUCCAUGAAGUCGGAAUCGCUAGUAAUCGUGGGAUCAGAAUGCCACGGUGAAUACGUUCCCGGGCCCUUGUACACACCGCCCGUCACACCAUGGGAGUGGGUUGCAAAAGAAGUAGGUAGCUUAACCCUUCGGGAGGGCGCUUACCACUUUGUGAUUCAUGACUGGGGUGAAGUCGUACAGGUUAAACCGUAAA
rnacentral:rRNA from 1 species